CCUACGGGUGGCAGCAGUGGGGAAUAUUGGACAAUGGGCGAAAGCCUGAUCCAGCCAUGCCGCGUGUGUGAAGAAGGCCUUCGGGUUGUAAAGCACUUUCAGUGGGGAAGAAAGCCUUGGGGCUAAUACCCUCGAGGAAGGACAUCACCCACAGAAGAAGCACCGGCUAACUCCGUGCCAGCAGCCGCGGUAAUACGGAGGGUGCGAGCGUUAAUCGGAAUUACUGGGCGUAAAGCGCGCGUAGGCGGUCUGAUAAGCCGGUUGUGAAAGCCCCGGGCUCAACCUGGGAACGGCAUCCGGAACUGUCAGGCUAGAGUGCAGGAGAGGAAGGUAGAAUUCGCGGUGUAGCGGUGAAAUGCGUAGAGAUCGGGAGGAAUACCAGUGGCGAAGGCGGCCUUCUGGACUGACACUGACGCUGAGGUGCGAAAGCGUGGGUAGCAAACAGGAUUAGAUACCCUUGUAGUC
rnacentral:rRNA from 1 species